CUCAAACCUGCCUCUUGGAGGGACGCUGAUGGCUGGAACUUUGCUGUGCACUUCCCUGGGCCCUGGGAAGACUGCUUGGGGCCGACUUUUACCAGCAUGCAACUCAUGUGGUGCAGCUAGGUGACUGGGAAGACAGAGACUUGCCUGGAUGAUCUGAUAGAAAAAGGCAACCAGCCAGGAGCAGUCAUGACUUAUUCCAUUAUUGUACCUGGUGCUGCUGGGAUGGUGAAGGAAGUGGAAGCCACAGCCCUUGCCUGCAAAGGGAUGACUAGAUGGGAUGACUACUGCCUGAAAUAUCAAGAAGUGCUGUCCAGAAUGUCAUGAGAAGCAUGGAGCAGCCAACAUGAAGUCAUGGACUAACAACCUUCCUGCAUGUUAGGGCCGGGAGUUUGGGAGGCCUUCUUCUGUUUACUUGGACCAAAGGAAACUUGGAGCUCUGCUGGGCCCCAGAGUAGCUCCAGAAUCAGAAGUGUUCAUCAUUCCUUUGAGCACAGAUCCAGGGAGUGUUUGACCAUGAGUUCUCCCUAGAGUCAACUCUUCAGCCAAGUGUGAACAGUCCUUGUAUAAUCCUGGCCAAUGCUCAAGGGCACUGUUAGGUUUUUCCAAAGAAGUAUCCUGGGCCUUUACAUGGGUUUCUCCAUCUCUUGCUUCCUUUCCUGCUAUCGUGUGAUUGGAAUACUGCUGUCCUUAAGGCUGUGUCCCUUUGGUACCAUGAGCUCAAUACUGUUGCCUGUCCUCCUGGCCUUGGCCCCAUCCAAUGCUCUUGGCUGAGAGAUCAGUGGACAGCACUGCAGCAUCAGCCUGCACUGAGGUUUUUCCUAAGAUCCUCCUCUAAGCUGUUCCGCACAAGCACAGGAGUUGUGUGUACAGCUCGUGCUCCAUUAUUAGUUCUCUGAAGGGCACUAUUUGGAUCCACCUCACACUGAUGGAAAACCCAACCUCUAAGGGAUUGGUUUGUUCUAGCAAUCUUUUCAAGAUGCGUUUUGAGAGCCUGUCCUCUCUUAAUCUUUCCUGUCCUUUUGGCCACUCAUUCUUACCUCCUCACCCUCCCAGCUGCUGUGGGCUCCAGAUGUUCCAGAGAUGCUGCCAGGGGUGACUUGCUAUGCACCAUGAGGCUGUGCAAGCAUGGAGAAACUUGGCCAAGCUAACAAGAUGGUACCCAAGAGAAAGAGUGUCUUGAACCCCUAACCCUCUUCAGCAUAAGCUUUAUCCCUUUGAAGAUGUUUGUGUCCUGAGGAUUUCACUGACUUCUUAGGCUUCACACAGACACAUUUUUAGCCCAAGCAACUGCAUAGUGUUCAGUGGUCUUAUUCACGAUCAGCUUAUAAGUUAUCACAAAAACCUUCUUCUGGUUUCCCUGGCUCAUGGAAAGCCUUGGUAAACUCUGUGCAAAACUAAUUUGGUCAUAUCACAGCAUAUUAAUAUGUAUGUUCGGACUCAGGGAACCAAAAAUCCAAGUCAUAAAAUGGUCACUCAUCCUUUUGAGUUCCCAAAUCCAAAAGAAGGCCUCGAGUCUCAGAAUAUACAGAAAGAAACAAUGGAAGGAACAAAUGCACAAACAAAUAAAAGAAAAUAUUCUAAGAUUCAAGAAAGCUUCUGUUUCUUCCACCUAUUGAUGCACAUCUAUGUAAAUGCCUUCUCUCCUUGCCUGAUCCAAUCUCAUGUCCAACAACAGAUAGAUGGUAGAUGGAUAAACUGAUCCAAAGGAAAUAAUCGUUCUGCAUCACUCUCCUUAAAGUGACUCACCACAUCGUGAAGGAGAGCCUAGCUUUACCACACACAGAGAAUGGCCUGGAAUUUGCACCAUCUCUGUUAAUAAAAUCACCAACUAUCACCUUGUGUAAAUCAUAGGACACAUCAGUCCCUUGGCAAAUGUUUCCAAGUGUCAUCAAUGUGGCAUCAGGACUGCUGAUAUUUUUAAACCAAUCCAGGCUUGGUCGCCUUGAAGAAUGCUAUUGGCCAUUCUUUUUUCUUUUAAGAUUUUAUUUAUUUAUAAGAGACAGAGAGAGCGAGAGAGAGAAGCAGAGACACAGGCAGAGGGAGAAGCAAGCUCCAUGC